ensembl:lncRNA
GCAUAUGGAGGUUCCCAGGCUAGGGGUCGAAUCGGAGCCAUAGCCACCAGCCUACGCCAGAGCCACAGCAACGCGGGAUCCGAGCCGCGUCUGCAACCUCCACCACAGCUCAUGGCAACGCCGGAUCCUUAACCCACUGAGCAAGGGCAGGGACCAAACCCGCAACCUCAUGGUUCCUAGUCAGAUUCGUUAACCACUGCGCCACUACGGGAACUCCCACUCAUGGGGUUCUUAACCCACUGAGCCACAACAGGAACUCCUAACCAUCGUUAAGUGUAUAAUUCAGUGACCUUAAGUUCAAUCACAAUGUUGUGUAACCAUCACCAUUAUUUCCAGAACUUUUUCAUCCCAAACAGCAACAGCCAAACAAGGAACAUAAUGUUACAUGGGUCUUAAACAUGCUGAAAAGCAAUAACACCAGGCUUUCUUCUGGACACAUGCCCACCUCCCAUGCUCCUCUGCUCCAUUCAUGCCAAACGAGUACAAAUGUUGCACCUACCUCAUGUUUUCAGGACUCUGUCUUUGCACGUGCUAUUUCUUCAACAUGGAAUCCCCUUCCUCCCAUUCUCCAACUGGCAAACUCAGUCACUUCUCAGGACUCUGUGAUGCCUUUUCUGACCCUAUCCCUUCCUACCAAGCAGGUGGGGUCCCCUCACUGGUGCUUUCCCAGCACUUUGGCUGCAGGUCGCUCCCAGCUCUUCCCACCGAUGUUGUAAUUAGCUGUUCUUGGCCUGCCCCUCCCAUUUGACGGUGAGCCUGUGGACUGUUACUUACUCAUCUUUGUUGCCCCAGCAACUCCCUAAAUAAAUGUUGAAUCACAAAUAAUAGCUGCCACUUACCGGCCCCGCGCAAGUAAAAAGGGAAAAAACUUACCCUGCCAUGCCACAAGAGAACUCCAGGGUGUUUUUGGUUUUCAUUUAUUUUAUUGAAGUAUAGUUGAUUUACAAUGUUGUGUUAAUUUCUGCUGUACAGCAAAGGGAUUCAGAUAUAUAUAUAUAUAUUUAUAAAUAUACAUAUUACACACAUAUAUAUUCUUUUCCAUUGUGGUUUAUCACAGGAUAUUGAUUAGAGUUCCCUGUGCUGUACAAUAGAACUUUUUGUUUACCCAUGCUGUAUAUAAUAGUUUGCAUCUGCUAAUUCCCAGGAUUUUUUUGGCCACCUGUGGCAUGCAGAAGUUCCUGGGCCAGGGCUUGAACCCAGGCCACAGCAGUAACCAGAGCCACAGAAGUGAUGACGCCCCAUCCCUAACCUGCUGGGGCAGCAAGGGACUCCCCAGGGUGUUGUGUACCGCACAAGCUCUAAUCCUUCCAGCAGCCCUUCGAGGUAGCUGCUGCUCCUGAUUUUUACUCAAGAGCUCAGACAGUGAGGAGUAAAGUCAGGACUCAGGACAUCCUGGUUCCAGAGUCCAAGUUGCUUCCAACAAGAGUGGGCGUGGGGGUGUGAGGCUGCCUGCCGCACGGAGCACCUGUCUUUUAUAGCUGCCUGUCUGAAAUCUGUGCCCACAGGUGAACUGUUUUUACUUCCUCAUUUGUCCAAUUGGACGUAUACGUUUUAGACCCCAUUUCCUUCUUUCUCCCACGUCAAACACUAGUAACACUCACCCAUCUCCCUUCACACACAUGGAAAUGCGCCCUUCCUGAUGAUUUUCCCUGACCUAUCGAAGCACUUAGUUGGCUGGUUUGAACGUCUCAGUCUGUGUCAUGUGUAUUUACCGCAUUUCCCCAUCUAGAUGGUAGGGUCCUAGGUUUGGGGGUGGAGACCACACCUUCUACUGCUUUCUUCCCAAUUGCACUCACACUGCAGUCUCUAUUUAGCAGUGCCUGGGGACAGCCAUUGGCUGCCUGGCAGGAAAUCUGUCCCCUCCCGCCCCAGGUCUACCCAGCCUAUAACCCUGUUGUGAUAUUUCUUGGAUCACCCCAGUCAGCCAACCACUUCUUAUCACACUCCUGUCCCCAUGUAUAACUCAGGGAAAGGCCACAUCCCUUUGAAAAGGAUUGUUUGCAAACAGCUGGCAUUAAAACUUCAAUAACAGUUUAGGCUAGAGUUACAGUAACAUUUUUAUCAUUCUUAACCAUUCUCUGGAGAAUCAAUAGCCCCUUAUAGCCAGGAGGCACCUACUAGCCCCUGAACAAGUGAACAAAUGAUUAUUUCCCAAGAUCCCAGGUCUUUGGUUCACAAAAUUACAGUGUUAAAGAGAUCAACAUGUAUUAGGUGAGUUGCUACUUAGGAGGUAGAAUUAGGCACCUUCAGGCGAGCAGAUGGCCAUCGCUCUAUUUCUGAGAAGCCUGUGGGUUUGUGUGUCCACCCCUUUCCCACAGACCACGCAAAAUGGCCCAAGCUGAGCCUUGAGAGCUGCCGGGCCGCUGCCUUGGUCCCCACCCCAUCUGCUUGCUUCCCUGGGGCUCCCCAUCAGUGGAGCUGAAUGGGCACAGUGCCAGGCCAGAUGGCAAAGAUGGGAAAAACUGCCAAAAAGGAGGCAAACAGGAAAUGGAAGGAGGGCUCUAGACGUGGGGGAGGGGCGGAAGGGCCCUCUCCUUUCUCCCGCCUCCAGCGAGAGGUCAGGUUUGGGGGGCAGGGGUUGGGGGGAAUGUAAAGCAAAGAUAUAGUGGCUGCCCCAGAAAAGCGGGGACACUGGGAUUUCAUUUCACCAGGGAGAAGGGGGGACUUGGGGGCCCACACAGGCUCAGUAACCUCAGCCUGCCUGCGGCUGCAGUCACAUGAGCACAUCACUACACACACGUGCGCAUGCAAGGCCGCGUGGAGGUGCCAGUAAACUGAGGGGUGUGCACCAAGAUUCCCUAGAACAUAUAAAUCCAUGUGUAAUGCAGCCUGUAACACACAUGCAUGUUCACAGAGGCACGGGCAGCUGGUGGGGGAGGAAACACACACAGCAGGCACAGCCCCCACCUUCACACACAUACACAUCACACACACACACCUGACCCUGGCCAAAGGGGCAGGGGCCUCCACGCCCCCCCCCCACACACACUUUCCUCCCACCCCCGAGUCCCUGUUCUGCAGCUCCCCAUGUGUGUAUGGGGGGUCCAGGCUCUUUUUGUCCUCAGUGACCCUCUGGGACCUGUCCCAUUGCCCUCUGAGCCGGGCUGGGCACCAGUCUUUGCUGAGAUAAGUCAGAGGGGCAGGGUUAUUUUUGCGCCGGCAGGAAGUGAGAACAGGGGGUUUAAAAGUGCACAGGAGGCUAACUCAUGACCCUUCCCUCCCUCUCAUCCACACCACUGGCCCGUGGUGUCCACCCUUCUGGUGCCUGACCAGCGAUGCAGAGGGGAGCUGAACAGAAAGGGAUGGGCAAUUUGGGACAGUGAUGGGGGCAGGGAGGGGAGAGACACCUCCUGUCUGUCUAGCUUCUUCCUGUCUGCCACCCUCUCCCUGGGCUCCCCCCUCCCACGCUCUCCCCCCACUACCACCUUCACCAAAGCCCUUGAUCUCCUCAUCUCCUCUUUGUAGGAAUCCACAUCCUUGAAAGGUUUGGAAUCUCAGAUCUCUGGACAUCAUCUCUAGAAGAGUUCCAACCACCUUUCAGAUGCUGGCAGCCACAGGCCAGUUGGCACACGAGUCCCACCCCUCCUGCGGUGUGUGGUGCCGACUGAGCCCACUUCCUCUGCUCUGUCCUCAGGCAGCUCAGGGCCCGAAGAUGUGCCCGCUCCCCACAGACAGUAACUCUCAGCACCCCUUCACAUGGGUCCUUUCAGAUGCUCCCUACAGAUCCCAACGGUGCUGAGCCUCCAGUGGAAGCUUCAUGAAGUCUAAAGGCCUUGUGACAAGCUCCGUCCCACAGCGGCCCCAGGACACAAAUGAAUCCUGCCCAUCUGCUUGUCCUGAGUCUAAGGCAGGGAGUUUAACGAGGUCACCAGGGUGAAUGGAUGGCCUCCUCCUGCCCCAGGGGCCACGUUCUUCCCACUGCCAUGUUUAUCCAUCCUCCCUCGUCCCCAGUCCAGGCCCGCUCUGCUUCCUCCAGCCCAGAUCCCUGCUCCAGCUUCCCCCUACCCUUCCCCACCUGAGACUCUCUUCUUGCCUUUCCAACCCCAUCCCCGGCUGCAACUUUUCCCUCUCAUGUCUCCCCACGGUUUUUCUGGAAAAAGGCAGAAAGCAAAGGCGACCUACAGCUCAAUGAUUGAUGUGUGGUUGUCACCUCCCCACCAGCAUACCUCUCCCCACCCUGCGGACAAGAGCUGGAAAAACAGGAAACAAGGUCCCAAUCAAGACCUAGGUGGGAUCUGGAGUUCCCAUCAUAGCUCAGCCGUUAAUGAACCUGACUAGCAUCCAUGAGGAUGAGGGUUCGAUCCCUGGCCUCGCUCAGUGGGUUAAGGAUCUAGCAUUGCUGUGACCUAUGGUGUGGGUCGCAGAUGCACAUCGGUCCUGAGUUGCUAUGCCUGUGGUGUAGGCCAGCAGCUAUAGCUCUGAUUGGACCCCUAGCCUGGGAACCUCCAUAUGUGUUGGGUGUGGCCCUAAAAGACAGGAAAAAAAAAAAAAGACCUAAGAGGGUUCAGCCCUCCAUAGCCUUGGGUGGUUCUCGCCUCCACAGGAGCCUUUGGCCUCGUGGACCUCGCCCUGACCUCAGGCAGCACUCAAGUCUCUGCUUUCCCCUUCCUGUGGGCACAAGUAUCAGAGGCCGAAAGAGCUGGGUUCUAGGGUCCCUCAGUUGCCAGGAAGUGAGGCUCAUGGGUUGAGUAGGUUUCUGCCUCCCGUUUAAUCCUUGCCUCCAUCUUCCCUUCUGCUACGACCUUCGCUCACCCUGAAGCGACAGGCGACACAACCCCUUCCGUCAGGGAGGCCCCCGUGAACAUAAGGACUCGGUGGGCAGCUGCCUCAUGGUUGGGACACAGAGGGACCAGAAGGCCUUGCCCGCUCUCAAAUAUCUCCCCCAACCCAUGCUCAGUAUCUGAAAUUUUAUCCACUUCGGGACCCUCACAGGCCACAUUCCCGCAGAACUGUAGGGACCCUGGACACAGUUCAUCUAAUCCUCCGAUAAAGACAAUGCCCUGGGUUAAGGCAGCGUCUGUCCAAGACACCACUGAAGCACACUGGUUACAUUGGAAGGAUCCCCGUAAGGGCACAGCUGAGCCUUGACCCUGCUGAUGGGGUUUCAUCAGAUGAGUUCAUUGUCACCGGCAAAGGCCCGGCCCUGGGGCGAGUGGGUUUUAGGGCUUGCGUUGUCUAAGAGUAGGAAAGGGCUGGCAACCAGCCCCAGAGGGCCUUCCUCGGUGGCCCUGGGAUUGGGGUUCAGCUUGACAGUGGGGACCUGACGGGUGAAGGGGAGGACACAGCCUUGGGGACAGCCAGGGUGGGGCUUCAAGAUCUAGGGCAAUCCUCUGUCCCCUGUCUGUGGGCCCAAGCCUGUCCCUUUGGGCUUUUGACUGAAACAUUUUCCCAGGGCCCACAGCCUACUUUCACCUCCACCCCCCCCCACCCAUGUCCUAUUUCUAAAGGAGAGGGGCUGCCCCUGGGGGGCUCCCCCCAACCUGUGAUGCCCCCAUACCUGUGCUCGCUGAGGCUCCGCCGCUGCCUUGAGCUGGCUUCCGCUGCUGCCUGUUCUGGGCUGGGCUGGGCUGGUAGGACCUGCUCCGGGCAGGCGGACACACCCACCUCCGCAGCUGUCAGCAGAUCCCAGCUCCCUGCACUCGCCCAACCCUGCGUGGGGCAGGGAGACAGAGGAGGAAGCACUGCCCUCAGUGGUCCACAGACAGGUCAGAGGAGAAGAAUCCCCAGCGGAUAAAGGCACUUCAUCUGGCCCCAACCAUCGCUGACUGCUGACUGUCCCCUCAUGGCUCACAC